CACGUAGGGUCCGAGCGUUGUCCGGAAUUACUGGGCGUAAAGAGCUCGUAGGUGGUUUGUCGCGUUGUCCGUGAAAACUCACAGCUCAACUGUGGGCGUGCGGGCGAUACGGGCAGACUGGAGUACUGCAGGGGAGACUGGGAAUUCCUGGUGUAGCGGUGGAAUGCGCAGAUAUCAGGAGGAACACCGGUGGCGAAGGCGGGGUCUCUGGGCCGAAACUGACGCUGAGGAGCGAAAGCGUGGGGAGCGAACAGG
rnacentral:rRNA from 1 species